CCUACGGGGGGCAGCAGUGAGGAAUAUUGGUCAAUGGGCGCGAGCCUGAACCAGCCAAGUAGCGUGAAGGAUGACUGCCCUACGGGUUGUAAACUUCUUUUAUAAAGGAAUAAAGUGAGGCACGUGUGCCUUUUUGUAUGUACUUUAUGAAUAAGGAUCGGCUAACUCCGUGCCAGCAGCCGCGGUAAUACGGAGGAUUCGAGCGUUAUCCGGAUUUAUUGGGGUUAAAGGGAGCGUAGAUGGGUUGUUAAGUUCGUUGUGAAAGUUUGCGGCUCAACCGUAAAAUUGCAAUUGAAACUGGCAGUCUUGAGUGCAGUUGAGGUAGGCGGAAUGCGUGGUGUAGCGGUGAAAUGCUGAGAUAUCACGAAGAACCCCGAUUGCGAAGGCAGCUUACCAAGCUGCCACUGACAUUGAUGCUCGAAAGUGUGGGUAUCAAACAGGAUUAGAUACCCCAGUAGUC
rnacentral:rRNA from 1 species